rnacentral:sRNA from 1 species
AUGUACCACGCGCACACGCCGGUGAUGAGCACGCCGUCCACGCCCGCCUGAACACUGCUCGCCAGGUGUUGUCAGCC